CCUACGGGAGGCAGCAGUGAGGAAUAUUGGUCAAUGGGCGGGAGCCUGAACCAGCCAAGUCGCGUGAAGGAAGAAGGUACUUAGUAUUGUAAACUUCUUUUGUCGGGGAACAAAGGCGGAGACGCGUCUCCGGAUGAGUGUACCCGAAGAGAAAGCAUCGGCUAACUCCGUGCCAGCAGCCGCGGUAAUACGGAGGAUGCGAGCGUUAUCCGGAUUUAUUGGGUUUAAAGGGUGCGUAGGCGGCCUUUUAAGUCAGCGGUGAAAGUCUGUGGCUCAACCAUAGAAUUGCCGUUGAAACUGGGAGG
rnacentral:rRNA from 1 species